rnacentral:lncRNA from 1 species
UAGUUGUUGAUAUAUUAGGGAUCGCUUGACUUCACGACAUUUUUACGCUUCUUUGUCAACAAACAAAAAAAGAAGAACAUUUUGCCUUGUGGAUUAGCAGAGUAUAUGAGAAUAUGUACGAUGUACUUUCAUUCAUGUGUUGAACAAAAUUCUUAUUGAGAUCAAUUAUGCACGCACGACUUCGAUGAAAGGAUGAAUUCCAUACUAUUAGGUAUCAUCAUGAUUUUUUUCCACACCAUAUGAAAAAAUAUUUUAAUUUGAGCAAUAAUUAUGUAAUAUAAUCACACCUACGCAUAACAAUUGAUCUUGUGAUAGAGUUUGUGUAUUACACUGUCAACGUUAUAUAAUUGUCCUAAUGUCAAACAAUCAUAUUGCAAUUAAAAAAAGAAUAGUGUUAUUCGCAUACUUAUUUUUACCUCUCACAUGCUUUGUUAAUUUUUUGUCAUUUAUCUUCUUCUGAUGGUGUUUGGAUCCAAAUUUACACCAUCGGCCCGUAUAAUCAAGGCCAUUGAGUAAGCAUAGUUCUCAACCGUCGGAUGGAAAAGUGAAGAUAUUUUUGUUAAAGGAUAGUAUUAUGAUUUUUUUAUCAUAAUAAUUAUUUUUUAAUGAUGAAUUAUCUUGAUAUUUUCUUAUACGAGAUAAAUGUGAAGCAAACUAUAUCGAAGCAAGCAGAACAGGUCAAUUUAAUUUGGGAUUCUUAGCAUUCAACCCGGGGAUUGAGCAUCAUGCAUUAUGAGAAGAGUCCUAGCAUGUAGUGGCAUCAGUUGGUAACCAAGGUGGAG